GAUAUUGCGACAAUUGGCGAAAGCCUGACGCAGCAACGCCGCGUGGAGGAUGAAGGCCUUCGGGUUGUAAACUCCUUUUCUGUGGGAAGAGGAAGGACGGUACCACAGGAAGAAGUCUCGGCUAACUACGUGCCAGCAGCCGCGGUAAAACGUAGGAGGCGAGCGUUAUCCGGAUUUACUGGGUGUAAAGCGCGUGCAGGCGGCUUGGUAAGUCGAGCGUGAAAGCUCCCGGCUCAACCGGGAGAGGACGUGCGAAACUGCGAGGCUAGAGACAGGUAGAGGCGUACGGAAUUCCGGGUGUAGUGGUGAAAUGCGUAGAUAUCCGGAGGAACACCAGUGGCGAAGGCGGCACGCUGGGCCUGGUCUGACGCUAAGACGCGAAAGCAUGGGGAGCGAACGGGAUUAGAAAAGCCCGGUAGUCCAUGCCGUAAACGAUGCUAACUAGGUGCUGCAGGGUAAAAGACCGGCAGUGCCGGAGUUAACGCUAUUAUUUAGCCACCUGGGGACUACGGUCGCAAGGCUAAAACUCAAAGGAAUUGACGGGGGCCCGCACAAGCAGCGGAGCUUGUGUUUUUAUUCGAGGCUACACGAAGAACCUUACCUGGGCUUGACAUGACGGUGGUAGGGAACCGAAAGGGGACCGACCUUCGGGAGCCGCCACAGGUGCUGCAUGGCUGUCGUCAGCUCGUGUCGUGAGAUGUUCGGUUAAGUCCGGUAACGAGCGCAACCCUCAUCGCUAGUUACAAGUGUCUAGCGAGUCUUCUCUUUUCAACGCGGGAGGAAGUCGGUGAUGACUUCUUGUCUCUAUGUCCUUUAUGUCCAGGACUACACGCACGCUACAAUGGCCGGUACAAUGGGUCGCCAACCCGCGAGGGGGAGCCAAUCCACCAAAGCCGGUCACAGUUCGAAUUGCAGGCUGCAACCCGCCUGCAUGAAGUCGGAGUUGCUAGUAACCGCAGGUCAGCUAUACUGCGGUGAAUACGUUCCCGGGCCUUGUACACACCGCCCGUCACGUCAUGGGAGCUGGUCAUGCCUGAAG
rnacentral:rRNA from 1 species